GGGGGCGUAAUGGUUUCGACGGGGGGAGCGCGGCCUGAGCAGCGGGUAGCAGCGGGGGAACUGCUUUACAAUCCUCCAAAAAAAUUAACUGACAAUAACGUACAGUUAGCCGCGGCCUGAGUGCCGCCGUCCUGCCCACUCUUGUGUCGUGUGGGGCCAGGGCGUGCUUAGACACAGCACGUGAACGGGCAUAAGCUUUGCCGCCCGUCAUGACCUCAUGAAGCUACUGAAGCGCUAGCCUGGCAACCGGCGUGGCGUGGAGGGAAUGCUGUAGAUUGCCUGCACCCGGAGAUACUCAUACCAAACUCCUUUCGGACAUGGGUUCGACUCCCAUCGCCUCCACCA
rnacentral:tmRNA from 1 species